GUAACCCCUGGCAACUGCGGCCCAGGCGCUGAGCGCUGUGCGCAUGUGCGCCGGCUACAGCUAGACUGGAGGGCAUCUGCUUCCCUGCAGGUGCUCCAGCCUUCUGCGAGGUGGAUCCCCACCUGUUCUCAGUUGCCUCUUCCAACAAUGGCGAGAUAGCCAAAGCUCCCUCCAUCUUGUCUGUCUUUCCUGUGGGCUCUGAACCUGGCCAUCGGCUUGUAAGUUCACGACAGUUGUCCUGGGGCAGGGUUUGGAGUCAGAAGAUAGCACCCGCCAGCCUGUCAUGCAAGCUGGAAACGCGGACACCAUCCUCACCUGCCUCCUCGUCUCCACCUGCACUGAACGAUCAGACAGCUCCUCACUUCCUUAGCACCUCUGUGGUUCAGGCUCCUGCUGUUAUUCCUUGCAGCACAGCUCCUCGCAGGCCGUUCUGCCUGAAAGGCAUCUGCUUGCUGAAAUCAAGUCAUCCUCUGAAAUGUAGACGGGAAUAUGUUGAAACCCCCCCCACACACACACACCAGUACACAAUGUGGUAAUGCUCCCAGCACCUGCCCGUCUGCCCAUGCUGCCAGUGUCUGCUGGAGGCCCCUGUGACUUCCCAUGUGAGGACUAAUCUUAAUGCCAAGGGGUGCUGGAAGUGCCAGGCUUUGAUGUCUGCAAGCAGCCACAGCCAGCGACCCACAGGUGGUGGAUGGAGACCAGAGCAAGUCAUCUGGAAGUGUCUUCCCAAAGGCCCCCAGGAGAUCAAGCCCAGGUGCUAUGCUGUAGUCAGGGCUGCAAGGGAAACAAUUUAAUACGGGACACACAAUUUAUAGGAUUAUUUUAUAAUCACCCAAAGAGUCAAACACA